rnacentral:rRNA from 1 species
GCUCAAAUUUGAAAUCUCUCGGGUUUCCCGAGCGAAUUGUAGUUUAUAGAAGCGCUUUCGGGGAUGGCCUUGGACCAAGUCCGUUGGAACGCGGCACCAGAGAGGGUGAGAGUCCCGUUGGUCCAGGAGUCCAUUCCUAUGUGAUGCGUUUUCGACGAGUCGCGUAGUUUGGGAAUGCUGCGCAAAUUGGGUGGUAAAUACCAUCUAAAGCUAAAUACUGGCGUGAGACCGAUAGCGAACAAGUACCGUGAGGGAAAGAUGAAAAGAACUUUGAAAAGAGAGUUAAACAGUACGUGAAAUUGUCUAAAGGGAAACGCUUGAUACCAGUACACUGCGGCGCAAAUCAGCCGAAAGGUGCAUUUUGCGACGCAGGGGUCAGCAUCGGUUUGGGGCAGGGUAAAAAGCUCGAUGGAAGGUAGCCUCUGGUGUUAUAGCCAACGAGCCAUGCCCUGUGCCGGACCGAGGACUGCAGCCAAGCAUUGGGGAAGCUGCCGCCUCUGGACGUGCCCGGCCCGACUACUUGUAGACGUUCUGGAGCACCAAGGAGCCCGGUGGUGUACCACUCUUUUUGGCUUAGGAUGCUGACGAAAUGGUCUCAAACGACCCGUCUUGAAACACGGACCAAGGAGUCCAACACACACGCGAGUCUUUGGGUGGCAAACCCGAGGGCGCAAUGAAAGUAAUCUUGGUGUGAUGGGUGUUACAGCCUUGCAACAUCGACCGGUCCGGACGAUUUAUCUGAAAGAUCUGAGUAAGAGCGUGUUUGUUGGGACCCGAAAGAUGGUGAACUAUGCCUGAAUAGGGUGAAGUCAGAGG